UAGUUAGAAUUAACUUUGAGUGACCUU
rnacentral:piRNA from 1 species